UGCAAGUCGAACGGUAACAUUGGUGCUUGCACCAGAUGACGAGUGGCGCACGGGUGCGUAACGCGUAUGCAAUCUACCUUUUACUAGAGUAUAGCCCAGAGAAAUUUGGAUUAAUCCUCUAUAAUAUCUUUUAAUUUCAUGAUUUUAAGAUUAAAGUUUUAACGGUAAAAGAUGAGCAUGCGUCCUAUUAGUUUGUAGGUGAGGUAACGGCUCACCUAGACUACGAUAGGUAGGGGCCCUGAGAGGGGGAUCCCCCACACUGGUACUGAGACACGGACCAGACUCCUACGGGAGGCAGCAGUAAGGAAUAUUGGACAAUGGACGAAAGUCUGAUCCAGCCAUGCCGCGUGCAGGAUGAAAGCCCUACGGGUUGUAAACUGCUUUUAUACAGGAAGAAACACUCCGACGUGUCGGAGCUUGACGGUACUGUAAGAAUAAGGAUCGGCUAACUCCGUGCCAGCAGCCGCGGUAAUACGGAGGAUCCAAGCGUUAUCCGGAAUCAUUGGGUUUAAAGGGUCCGCAGGCUGUUUUUUAAGUCAGAGGUGAAAUCCUACAGCUCAACUGUAGAACUGCCUUUGAUACUGAAAAACUUGAGUUAUUGUGAAGUGGUUAGAAUGUGUGGUGUAGCGGUGAAAUGCAUAGAUAUCACACAGAAUACCGAUUGCGAAGGCAGAUCACUAACAAUAUACUGACGCUCAUGGACGAAAGCGUGGGGAGCGAACAGGAUUAGAUACCCUGGUAGUCCACGCCGUAAACGAUGGAUACUAGCUGUUCGUCUAACAUUGGUUAGAUGAGUGGCUAAGCGAAAGUGAUAAGUAUCCCACCUGGGGAGUACGGUCGCAAGACUGAAACUCAAAGGAAUUGACGGGGGCCCGCACAAGCGGUGGAGCAUGUGGUUUAAUUCGAUGAUACGCGAGGAACCUUACCAGGGCUUAAAUGUAGUGGGACAGGUCUAGAGAUAGACCCUUCUUCGGACUCAUUACAAGGUGCUGCAUGGUUGUCGUCAGC
rnacentral:rRNA from 1 species